UACGUAGGGCCCAAGCGUUGUUCGGAUUUACUGGGCGUAAAGGGCGCGUAGGCGGCUUAACAAGUCCCUUGUGAAAUCUCCGGGCUUAACUCGGAACGGCCAAGUGAAACUGUCAAGCUAGAGUGCAGAAGGGGCAAUCGGAAUUCUUGGUGUAGCGGUGAAAUGCGUAGAUAUCAAGAGGAACACCUGAGGUGAAGACGGGUUGCUGGGCUGACACUGACGCUGAGGCGCGAAAGCCAGGGGAGCAAACGGG
rnacentral:rRNA from 1 species